ACACUUAAUUAUUUCUCCUGCUUUUGUUCUGACAGUAUGAGGCUGAAGUGGAAAUAUCAACUUUUGUGUUUGUUUACCCAGUGGUACACACUGUGUUUAAUCUGAGGAGGAGACUUGGCUGUUCUCCAAUCAGAUUGCCUGAGAACCGGUUUGGAUCAGUCAAGCUGAGAAGAAUAAACUACUGAGAACACGACUCUCUGAUUUCACUUUGCGAUGACAGAGGAGAAGCUGAAGUCCAAACUCCAACAGAGGGUGAUUUGUCGGCGUGAGACUCAAAAUGAGGCUCUGUGAUGAAUCUGAGGAUGGAAACAGUGCAGACGAGCAGACAGAGUCUGCCGCCUCCAGCUGCUGCAGAAACACCGAGUGGCUCAACGUGCCGCGUUUCAGCCGCCACCACCUGUCUGCAGAUGAUGACAAACAGAUCAGCAUGCCGGAGUUUCCAACAGCCGUUUAUCUGCUGAUGAAACGGGAUAAAUCCUCAGAGCUGAUCGAUUUCAACUCCAACUUGGACCCUUCAGUCACAAAACUGGUGUGCGUGAGGACGAGCAGUAAGGACUUUGAGCUACCUUUCUAGAUUCCAGCCCGAACUGUGCAGUUAUGAUGCAGUCCAGAGGAACCAAUCCUUGAGGAGUGGCCACUCGAUGGGAAACACCAGAUUCAAAGUGAGCUUCAUUAUUCCAGUCGAGAGAUGAGAAAUCUCUUCUACAAGUUUGGACAUCAGCACUUGCUGUUUGGAGCUCUACUUGUAAAUAAUCUGCCUUCGUGUGAUAAAGGUUGUUCCAGUUCAGCAGCACAAAGCUGCUCAUUUAACGACGUCGGGGAGCGAGAACAGUCACAUGUGAAAUGAACUUUGCUUGUGCAGCUCACAGCCUGUAUGCAGACCUACAGCUGGAAAUGAAAAUCCAAACUGAGCUUCUGCAGUUACAUUUUAUUGGAGGGGGAAUUUUUUUAAAGUGAAUUAUUUCAGUUUUCAUUGGUUUUUCUACAUUCUGCUAUACUUCCAGUGGUGACACUAAAAACAGGGCAAAGACAGAAAGACGAUCGCCACGGGUUAGUUAACCUUGGUGAGGCUAAAUAGAAGGCUACAAACAUCCUCAUAGAACUGGAGUUACAUCCAGAUAACUUCUAGUUCCUUAAAGCCCCUGUGUGUGGAAUUUAAUUUGAUUAUAACAGCUAUCAAAUAUGUUUCUGUUUGUCGUGCAAAUGCUACACACAGGAGCUUUAAAAUAUCUUCACAUUAACAUCAAUAUGUUCUUCAUUCAUUCCAGACCCCUUUAAGGUAUUUUCCCGUCUUCUAGAAAUCACAUUUAUAUCCAAUUAAUUAAAACAAAAUGCAGACCAGAUUAUAUUUUAUAUCCACAUAAUGAGGAAAUAUGUCAGUAAAAUGUCCACUGACAACAUAUUUAAUUUGUUCUCCACCAAAACAUCCAAUCUUGUGAUACAAUAUCCGUUUGUAGGAACUUUUUUAUGGUUCUGUUUAGGCAACAAAAGCACCAACUUUAGAGAAAGAUCAACUUUCAUUGUUUGUUUGUUUAUCUGUUGAUUGAUUCUCUGAGAAAUGGACGACAUAGAUUUUGUAAUUGUGUGUCUGUUUGUGUUCUUCAAGGCGUUGGAAACACAUAUCAGUGAUUUGGUUUGUUAAAAAUCUGCUUUAAAGUCACAACCAAUAAGUCUACAGUUCUAUUUAGAGAUGAAAUUCUACUUUUAUACAGAACGUCCAUAUCUACAAGAGAACUGUCAUACAUUAGUUCAUAUUUGUUAUAUUACAAUGAGAUCAAUGGCAUAUAAAUAUUGAUUAAAGUCAGUCUCAGUCAACAGAAAACACAUUUUCCGUUUUACUGUUAAAUAUUGUUAGAAACAGUUUAGUUCAUAUAUUUUUGAACUCCAGCAGAAAGAAUUGUUGUACGUCUCAGUGUUUUCUCUUUUCUCUGUAUUGUUCUCAUGCCGUUUGCAUUCUAAUACUUUAUGUUUGUAUCAUAGAUGUGUAUAUUCACCGUUAUAUACCUGGAUGUACAUAUUGUUUGUGUUUAUGAGUCCAUCAGUCAUCUGAGCCCACUGACAGUUCUUUGGUCACGUUGUAGGAACAUUGGUGAAUAUUUAAGAAGCAGUCUUCAAGGCUAAAUGUGAGAGCAGAGCAUUAGUAAAGAAUUCUGAAAUACUGAGGUUAUGAUGGUGAUUUCUUAAGGUUCCCAUGCAUCCUGGAAAACCUGGGAAAGUCCUGGAAAAUGACAAUAUUUACCAAAAUGUUCCUGAGAGCAAAACGCUGUCCUGAAAGAGGUUUCUAAUGCAGAAUAAAUACAAUCAUAAUCACAUUGAUAGACUUUAUUCAUGAUCCUGUGAAUGUGUUUUUGGUGCUGGUCCCAGUGGGAUUCAAACUGUAACUGUGCAUCACAACCUUGUUCUGUUUUUAUGACACAUUUUAAGUGUGAGCCAAUAAAGGUUUAAAAUCUGA